rnacentral:rRNA from 1 species
GUCUUUGGCCAUGCCACCCUGAACAAGCCCAAUCCUGUCUGAUCUCGGAAGCUAAGCAGGGUCGGACCUGGUUAGUACUUGGAUGAGAGACCACCUAGGAAGACCAGGUGCUGUAGGUG